CCUACGGGAGGCAGCAGUGGGGAAUAUUGCGCAAUGGGCGAAAGCCUGAAGCAGUGACGCCGCGUGAGGGAUGAAGGUCUUCGGAUCGUAAACCUCUGUCAGCAGGGAAGAAAGGUCACUGUGCUAAUCAGCAGUGAAUUGACGGUACCUGCAAAGGAAGCACCGGCUAACUCCGUGCCAGCAGCCGCGGUAAUACGGAGGGUGCGAGCGUUAAUCGGAAUUACUGGGGGUAAAGGGCUCGUAGGCGGUAGGUCAAAGCACGGGUGAAAUCCCCGCGCUCAACGUGGGAACUGCCUUUGAAACUGGAUAACUUGAGUGUGUGAGAGGAUAGUGGAAUUCCAGGUGUAGGAGUGAAAUCCGUAGAUAUCUGGAGGAACAUCGGUGGCGAAGGCGACAAUCUGGCACAUAACUGACGCUGAUGAGCGAAAGCGUGGGUAGCAAACAGGAUUAGAUACCCGUGUAGUC
rnacentral:rRNA from 1 species